GUGGGGAAUAUUGGGCAAUGGGGGAAACCCUGACCCAGCAACGCCGCGUGAAGGAAGAAGGUUUUCGGAUCGUAAACUUCUAUCCUUGGUGAAGAUAAUGACGGUAGCCAAGAAGGAAGCCCCGGCUAACUACGUGCCAGCAGCCGCGGUAAUACGUAGGGGGCAAGCGUUGUCCGGAAUGAUUGGGCGUAAAGGGCGCGUAGGCGGCCUGGUAAGUCUGGAGUGAAAGUCCUGCUUUUAAGGUGGGAAUUGCUUUGGAUACUGUCGGGCUUGAGUGCAGGAGAGGUAAGCGGAAUUCCCGGUGUAGCGGUGAAAUGCGUAGAGAUCGGGAGGAACACCAGUGGCGAAGGCGACUUACUGGACUGUAACUGACGCUGAGGCGCGAAAGUGUGGGGAGCAAACAGGAUUAGAAACCCCUGUAGUCC
rnacentral:rRNA from 1 species